AUUAGCUGGAGGAGAUCUGACGGGAAUCAGGCAUGGCAUGACUGCAGGCUGCGUAGGGGCUAGGCACUCUAUCUGCAGACCCUGGAGCUCACCGGGAUCAGAGGAUGAUUUCCAUCUGUUCUCCACAACCACCGGGGCAGAACAAAGAGGAUGGGGUUAUAAUCCAGCAGGAGAUUCCUUCUUUCUUCCACUGAAUUUUGAGGAGGAAAACAAGUCAUUUCUUCUCCAAGAAGUCCCUCUGCUUCCAGCAGUCUCCUGUGGUUUUUAGUUGCAAUCCUAAAUGUCAGAAAGCAGGGUGAAACCUGUGGUGGAAACUUCAAGGGACAUGGAUGAAUCUGGAGAACAUCAUUCUCAGCAAACUGACACAAGAACAGAAAAUGAAAUACCGCAUAUUCUCACUCAUAGGUGGGUGAUGAAAAAUGAGAACACAUGGACACAGAGAGGGGAGUACUAA